UGGCUCAGAACGAACGCUGGCGGCAGGCCUAACACAUGCAAGUCGAACGUGAAGCCACCUUCGGGUGGUGGAAAGUGGCAGACGGGUGAGUAACGCGUGGGAACGUGCCUUUCGGUUCGGAAUAACCCAGGGAAACUUGGGCUAAUACCGGAUACGCCCUUCGGGGGAAAGAUUCAUCGCCGAAAGAUCGGCCCGCGUCGGAUUAGCUAGUUGGUAGGGUAAUGGCCUACCAAGGCGAGGAUCCGUAGCUGGUCUGAGAGGAUGACCAGCCACACUGGGACUGAGACACGGCCCAGAGACCUACGGGAGGCAGC
rnacentral:rRNA from 2 species